AGUUUUAUAUUCUAAAUUUUAAGAAAUUAAGUUGCAAACUUGAAAAUAUAAAGUAAUUUGUUAAGACUU
rnacentral:tRNA from 1 species